rnacentral:rRNA from 1 species
AGGAUGAACGCUGGCGGCGUGCUUAACACAUGCAAGUCGAACGAUGAAGCCGGAGCUUGCUCUGGUGGAUUAGUGGCGAACGGGUGAGUAACACGCGAGUAACCUGCCCUUGACUCUGGGAUAAGCGUUGGAAACGACGUCUAAUACCGGAUACGACGCGCGAAGGCAUCCUCUGCGCGUAGGAAAAGUAUUUCGGUCAAGGAUGGACUCGCGGCCUAUCAGCUAGUUGGUGAGGUAACGGCCCACCAAGGCGACGACGGGUA